GGGGUUGUGGCUCAGUGGCAGAGCGCUUGCCUAGCAUGUGUGAGGCACUGGGUUCAAUUCUCAGCACCA
rfam:Ictidomys tridecemlineatus contig016419, whole genome shotgun sequence.